rnacentral:rRNA from 1 species
CUAUGGGGCGCAGCAGGCGAGAAAACUUUGCAAUGUGCGAAAGCACGACAAGGUUAAUCCGAGUGGUUUCUGCUAAAGGAACCUUUUGUUAGUCCUAGAAACACUAACGAAUAAGGGGUGGGCAAGUUCUGGUGUCAGCCGCCGCGGUAAAACCAGCACCUCAAGUGGUCAGGAUGAUUAUUGGGCCUAAAGCAUCCGUAGCCGGCUCUGUAAGUUUUCGGUUAAAUCUGUACGCUCAACGUACAGGCUGCCGGGAAUACUGCAGAGCUAGGGAGUGGGAGAGGUAGACGGUACUCGGUAGGAAGGGGUAAAAUCCUUUGAUCUAUUGAUGACUCACCUGUGGCGAAGGCGGUCUACUCAGAACACGUCUCGACGGUGAGGGAUGAAAGCUGGGGGAGCAAACUCGGAUUAGAUACCCGGGUAGUCCCAGCUGUAAACUAUGCAAACUCAGUGAUGCAUUGGCUUGUGGCCAAUGCAGUGCUGCAGGGAAGCCGUUAAGUUUGCCGCCUGGGAAGUACGUACGCAAGUAUGAAACUUAAAGGAAUUGGCGGGGGAGCACCACAAGGGGUGAAGCCUGCGGUUCAAUUGGAGUCAACGCCAGAAAUCCUACCCGGAGAGACAGCAGAAUGAAGGUCAAGCUGAAGACUUUACCAGACAAGUUGAGAGGUGGUGCAUGGCCGUCGCCAGCUCGUGCCGUGAGAUGUCCUGUUAAGUCAGGUAACGAGCGAGAUCCCUGCCUCUAGUUGCCACCAUUACUCUCAGGAGUAGUGGGGCGAAUUAGCGGGACCGCCGCAGUUAAUGCGGAGGAAGGAAGGGGCCACGGCAGGUCAGUAUGCCCCGAAACUCUGGGGCCACACGCGGGCUGCAAUGGUAAUGACAAUGGGUUCCAAAUCCGAAAGGAGGAGGUAAUCCUCAAACAUUACCACAGUUAUGACUGAGGGCUGCAACUCGCCCUCACGAAUAUGGAAUCCCUAGUAACUGCGUGUCAUUAUCGCGCGGUGAAUACGUCCCUGCUCCUUGCACACACCGCCCGUCGCUUCAUUGAAGUGAGCUUUUAGCGAGGUGACGUCUGAUUGGCGUUAUCGAACUUGAGGUUCGUGACAAGGGAAAAGUCGUAACAAGGUAACC